GCCAGCAUGAUAUAGUGGUUUGGGUGUUGGAUUAUGGCUCUGGAGGCCAGGGUUCAAUUCCCUGCUCAGCCA
rnacentral:tRNA from 1 species